rnacentral:rRNA from 1 species
GCCUAACACAUGCAAGUCGGACGAGAAAGUGGGAGCAAUCCUGCGAGUACAGUGGCAGACGGGUGAGUAACACGUGAACGACCUACCCUUGAGUGGGGAAUAACACCGCGAAAGCGGUGCUAAUACCGCAUAACAUCUCAUAGUCGCAUGGCGGUGAGAUCAAAAGCGUAAGUUGCUUGAGGAGGGGUUCGCGGCUGAUUAGCUAGUUGGUGAGGUAACGGCCCACCAAGGNAACGAUCAGUAGCCGGCCUGAGAGGGCGAACGGCCACACUGGAACUGAGACACGGUCCAGACUCCUAC